rnacentral:rRNA from 1 species
GAUGAACGCUGGCGGCGUGCCUAAUACAUGCAAGUCGAGCGAACGGACGAGAAGCUUGCUUCUCUGAUGUUAGCGGCGGACGGGUGAGUAACACGUGGAUAACCUACCUAUAAGACUGGGAUAACUUCGGGAAACCGUAGCUAAUACCGGAUAAUAUUUUGAACCGCAUGGUUCAAAGGUGAAAGACGGUCUUGCUGUCACUUAUAGAUGGAUCCGCGCUGCAUUAGCUAGUUGGUAAGGUAACGGCUUACCAAGGCAACGAUGCAUAGCCGACCUGAGAGGGUGAUCGGCCACACUGGAACUGAGACACGGUCCAGACUCCUACGGGAGGCAGCAGUAGGGAAUCCUCCGCAAUGGGCGAAAGCCUGACGGAGCAACGCCGCGUGAGUGAUGAAGGUCUUCGGAUCGUAAAACUCUGUUAUUAGGGAAGAACAUAUGUGUAAGUAACUGUGCACAUCUUGACGGUACCUAAUCAGAAAGCCACGGCUAACUACGUG